rnacentral:sRNA from 1 species
GCCGAGUGUGGUGGCGCACGCCUGUAAUCCCAGCAGCUGAGGAGGCUGAGGCAGGAGGAUGGAGAGUUCAAAGCCAGUCUCAG